rnacentral:rRNA from 1 species
AUUGAACGCUGGCGGCAGGCCUAACACAUGCAAGUCGAACGGUAGCACAGAGAGCUUGCUCUCGGGUGACGAGUGGCGGACGGGUGAGUAAUGUCUGGGAAACUGCCCGAUGGAGGGGGAUAACUACUGGAAACGGUAGCUAAUACCGCAUAACGUCGCAAGACCAAAGUGGGGGACCUUCGGGCCUCACACCAUCGGAUGUGCCCAGAUGGGAUUAGCUAGUAGGUGGGGUAAUGGCUCACCUAGGCGACGAUCCCUAGCUGGUCUGAGAGGGUGCCCAGCCACACUGGAACGGAGACACGGUCCAGACGCCUACGGGAGGCAGCAGUGGGGAAUAUUGCACAAUGGGCGCAAGCCUGAUGCAGCCAUGCCGCGUGUAUGAAGAAGGCCUUCGGGUUGCAAAGUACUUUCAGCGGGGAGGAAGGCGGUGGAGUUAAUAACUUCACCGAUUGACGUUACCCGCAGAAGAAGGACCGGCUAAUUCCGUGCCAGCAGCCGCCGUAA